rnacentral:rRNA from 1 species
CCUACGGGUGGCAGCAGUGGGGAAUAUUGGGCAAUGGGCGCAAGCCUGACCCAGCAACGCCGCGUGAAGGAAGAAGGCUUUCGGGUUGUAAACUUCUUUUGACAGGGAAGAGCAGAAGACGGUACCUGUCGAAUAAGCCACGGCUAACUACGUGCCAGCAGCCGGGGUAAUUCGGAGGUGGCAAGCGUGGUCCGGAAUUACUGGGGGGAAAGGGCGGGUAGCCGGGCUGACAAGUCAGAUGUGAAAUCCGGGGGCUCAACCCCCGAACUGUAUUUGAAACUGUUGGUCUUGAGUAUCGGAGAGGAUGGCGGAAUUCCUAGUGUAGCGGUGAAAUGCGUAGAUAUCUGGAGGAACAUCAGUGGCGAAGGCGACUAUCUGGCACAUAACUGACGCUGAGGAGCGAAAGCGUGGGUAGCAAACAGGAUUAGAUACCCUGGUAGUC